ensembl:snRNA U6 U6 spliceosomal RNA
GUGCUCUCUUCAGGAGUACAUUUACUAAAAUUGGAAUAAUUGAGAAGAUUAGCAUGGCUCCUGCCCAGUAACUACUAUGCCUUAAUCUUUUAAAGUCUUU